GCCUUUGAAUCUGCCGUAUUCAUUAAUGCGCCCCUGCCGUGGGAACAGGCC
rfam:Caenorhabditis sp. 34 TK-2017 DNA. chromosome 3, nearly complete genome